AGUUUGAUCCUGGCUCAGGAUGAACGCUAGCUACAGGCUUAACACAUGCAAGUCGAGGGGCAGCAUUGGAGUAGCAAUACUUCAGAUGGCGACCGGCGCACGGGUGAGUAACACGUAUCCAACCUGCCGCUUACUCGGGGAUAGCCUUUCGAAAGAAAGAUUAAUACCCGAUGGUAUAAAGAGUUCGCAUGUUCUCUUUAUUAAAGAAUUUCGGUAAGCGAUGGGGAUGCGUUCCAUUAGAUUGUUGGCGGGGUAACGGCCCACCAAGUCUACGAUGGAUAGGGGUUCUGAGAGGAAGGUCCCCCACAUUGGAACUGAGACACGGUCCAAACUCCUACGGGAGGCAGCAGUGAGGAAUAUUGGUCAAUGGACGAGAGUCUGAACCAGCCAAGUAGCGUGAAGGAUGACUGCCCUAUGGGUUGUAAACUUCUUUUAUAAGGGAAUAAAGUGAGGGACGUGUCCCUUUUUGUAUGUACCUUAUGAAUAAGGAUCGGCUAACUCCGUGCCAGCAGCCGCGGUAAUACGGAGGAUCCGAGCGUUAUCCGGAUUUAUUGGGUUUAAAGGGAGCGUAGGUUGACGUAUAAGUCAGCUGUGAAAGUUUACGGCUCAACCGUGAAAUUGCAGUUGAUACUGUAUGUCUUGAGUGUACAAGAGGUGGGCGGAAUUCGUGGUGUAGCGGUGAAAUGCUUAGAUAUCACGAAGAACUCCAAUUGCGAAGGCAGCUCACUGGGGUACAACUGACACUGAGGCUCGAAAGUGUGGGUAUCAAGCAGGAUUAGAUACCCUGGUAGUCCACACAGUAAACGAUGAAUACUCGCUGUUUGCGAUAUACAGUAAGCGGCCAAGCGAAAGCAUUAAGUAUUCCACCUGGGGAGUACGCCGGCAACGGUGAAACUCAAAGGAAUUGACGGGGGCCCGCACAAGCGGAAGAACAUGUGGUUUAAUUCGAUGAUACGCGAGGAACCUUACCCGGGCUUGAAUUACAGAGGAACAUAGUUGAAAGAUUAUGGCCGCAAGGUCUCUGUGAAGGUGCUGCAUGGUUGUCGUCAGCUCGUGCCGUGAGGUGUCGGCUUAAGUGCCAUAACGAGCGCAACCCUUAUCAUUAGUUACUAACAGGUCAUGCUGAGGACUCUAGUGAGACUGCCGUCGUAAGAUGUGAGGAAGGUGG
rnacentral:rRNA from 1 species